CCUGAGAGGACUGUGAGUUGCUAAUCUGACCUGGUUUGGGACUGACAAUUCCUGAACCCAUGUUAUUGGUAGUCUGUGUUUUGUCAGACCUGGUAAAAAUUGUUUCCUCUGGUAGGGAUUGAAUGCGGGUGUUAAUAUGGGACAUCACAGCUUCAGCACAAGGGAGAUGGAUGCACCCUCCUUGCCGAGAGUACUUGAUGACACUUCAGUGCUUCUGGUGAUGAGCUACAAAGUCUGCUUGCCCUGCUGCAUUAUUCAUGCUUUUCUUUCCUAAACAAGCAUCCUGAUGUGUUCCUCUAAGGUGUUUAAAAAAGGGAUGGGUGCUGCAAAUCCCCAAACAAAAACCGUUGCUGCUCUGCUGCUAGAUCUCAUUUCUUGUCACAGCUGUUGCCUGUUUUAGUAGCUGGAUUCCCAAGGAAACAAAGCUCAUAUGAGCACAAAGGCGGAGCGCUCACAGCCUUUGUGUGCGGGUGUGCGUGUCUGUCCUUCCUCCCCACCCUUAAUAAUUUUUUAAUCUGUUGGUCAAUUGGCCGUUCCAGUGUGACAGAGGGAAAGAGCCUCCAGGAGUGAUUAUAAACAUCCUGACUGGGGAAAAGAUUUUGGGUGGAACUUGCACCUUACUAGAAACCAGAUAAGACGAGCUGUGAGAUGUGAAUGCUUCAGAGUCCAGCCUAAGCAGGGCCCAG